rnacentral:lncRNA from 1 species
GAGAUCCCAGGUGCGGGCAUCUCUGUUGGAGCCGCAGGGUGAUUUCGGAGAACGGAAGGCGGGGAGAGGGCAGGGCAGGAUCUGCUGCCGGCUCCUGACAGCAGGUCCUCACACGAAAGUCGUUCGUCGCAUUUUCACCAACAGCCGGGAGAGAUGGAGACAGCAGAACGUCAACGGGGCCUUCGCAGAGCUGCGCAAGCUCAUCCCCACCCACCCGCCCGACAAAAAACUCAGCAAGAACGAGAUUCUGCGCCUGGCUAUGAAAUACAUCAACUUCCUGGCCAAGCUGCUCAACGACCAGGAGGAAGAAGGAAACCAAAGGGGCAAAGUGAACAAAGACUCGGGGAUAGUCCAGGAAGACCUCCUGCAGGACAUGUUGUCCCCCAACUCCAGCUGUGGGAGUUCCCUGGACGGAGCGGCGAGCCCGGACAGCUUCACGGAAGAGCACGAGACGCUGGAUUCGAAGCACACGCGGAGCCUGCACCACGCCAUCCUCCCCGUAGAAGGCAACGCGCAGCGGUGAUGACCCUCACGCUGCUCCCGAAGCGCCGCGGGGGAGAGGCCAGGCUUGGCUGUGCACUUGCUGGAACUUUUUGCUUGUGGGAUUUGUGA